rnacentral:rRNA from 1 species
GACGAACGCUGGCGGCGUGCUUAACACAUGCAAGUCGAACGGAAAGGCCCUGCUUUUGUGGGGAGCCCAGUGGGCAACGUGUGAAUAACCUGUGGAAUAACCGCCCCUGUCCUUGGUAACACCUUGAGAAACCGGGGACGAUACCGGAAAGUCAGUCCUGCUGUUUUGUGGGGUGUUGAAAAUUUCGGCUGUUGGGGAUGGACUCGCCGUCUUUUCGUUUUUUUGGGGGGUCGGGGCUUCCCAAAGCUUUUACGUUGAGCCGGUCUGAGAGGGUGAGCGGCCACAUUGGGACAGAGAUACGCGCCAGACACCUACGGGAGGGAGCAGUGGGGAAUAUUGCACAAUGGGCGGAAGCCUGAUGCAGAAACGCCGCGUGUGGGAUGACGGCCUUCGGGUUGUAAACCGCUUUCGCAUGUGACGAAGAGUGAGUGACGGUAAUGGGUAAAGAAGCAACGGCUAACUACGUG